rnacentral:rRNA from 1 species
ACAAGUAGCGGAGCAUGUGGUUUAAUUCGAAGCAACGCGAAGAACCUUACCUAAGCUUGACAUCCCAAUGACAUCUCCUUAAUCGGAGAGUUCCCGUCGGGGACAUUGGUGACAGGUGGUGCAUGGUUGUCGUCAGCUCGUGUCGUGAGAUGUUGGGUUAAGUCCCGCAACGAGCGCAACCCUUGUCUUUAGUUGCCAUCAUUAAGUUGGGCACUCUAGAGAGACUGCCAGGGAUAACCUGGAGGAAGGUGGGGAUGACGUCAAAUCAUCAUGCC